UCCCCAUAUAUGUGUGAGAGCUGCUUGUAUUGAUGUCAUUCCUGUGAAAAAAGGAGACUGGCCUGGACAAAUUUAGAAGAAAAGUGGCACAUUGUUGGCUUUGCCUGCAGUGCUAAGUGGCUUGUGGAUCACAAGGAAGACAUAUCCUGUUGUAAUUGUGCCAACCUGAACACUGACGGUACCUGCUGUAGAAUGAGUCACCUGGCUAAGGAUACAGACAUUCCUCGAUGCUUCACCUUGCG